CCUACGGGGGGCAGCAGUAGGGAAUUUUCGUCAAUGGGGGGAACCCUGAACGAGCAAUGCCGCGUGAGUGAAGAAGGCCUUCGGGUCGUAAAGCUCUGUUGUAAGAGAAAAACGGUAAUGAUAGGGAAUGAUCAUUAAGUGAUGGUAUCUUACGAGGAAGCCACGGCUAACUACGUGCCAGCAGCCGCGGUAAUACGUAGGUGGCAAGCGUUAUCCGGAUUUAUUGGGUUUAAAGGGUGCGUAGGCGGGCUUUUAAGUCAGCGGUAAAAAUUCGGGGCUCAACCCCGUCCGGGCGUUGGAACUGG
rnacentral:rRNA from 1 species